rnacentral:rRNA from 1 species
UACAGAGGCCUCAAGCGUUGUUCGGAUUCAUUGGGCGUAAAGGGUGCGUAGGUGGCAUGGUCAGUCGGAUGUGAAAUCCCGGGGCUCAACCCCGGAACUGCAUUCGAUACUGCCGCGCUAGAGUACUGGAGAGGAGAUUGGAAUUUACGGUGUAGCAGUGAAAUGCGUAGAUAUCGUAAGGAAGACCAGUGGCGAAGGCGGAUCUCUGGACAGGUUACUGACACUGAGGCACGAAGGCCAGGGGAGCAAACGGG